AUUGAACGCUGGCGGCAUGCCUCACACAUGCAAGUCGAACGGCAGCACGGGAGCAAUCCUGGUGGCGAGUGGCGAACGGGUGAGUAAUAUAUCGGAACGUGCCCGGUCGUGGGGAUAACGUAGCGAAAGCUACGCUAAUACCGCAUACGAUCUACGGAUGAAAGCGGGGGAUCGCAAGACCUCGCGCGAUUGGAGCGGCCGAUAUCAGAUUAGGUAGUUGGUGAGGUAAAGGCUCACCAAGCCGACGAUCUGUAGCUGGUCUGAGAGGACGACCAGCCACACUGGGGCUGAGACACGGCCCAGACUCCUACGGGAGGCAGCAGUGGGGAAUUUUGGACAAUGGGCGCAAGCCUGAUCCAGCAAUGCCGCGUGCAGGAUGAAGGCCU
rnacentral:rRNA from 1 species